UGGACGGCCAGUCCACACUUUCCAUUCCUGUUCCUCUCGUCCCUCUUUGACUGCCAAAUCCGCCUCUCCCUUCCCGUCCCCACGCGCCUACGUUUUGCUCUUUCCUAUUGUUUUCAACUAGAUUUAGUAAUUUGCUAUAAAAAUGUUUGGAUGAGAAACCACUUGGAUAACAGGCCUUCUGCUUUCUUUUUUCAUGUGUGAGACUAAAUAAAAGUGUGUCUGUACAUGUAGUCACAUUCAAUAGAACAA
rnacentral:lncRNA from 1 species